rnacentral:lncRNA from 1 species
CACCGAAGCAUCAACUAUCUUGGAACUCUGCCAACUAGAACCUCGGCCUCAACUGACACAUCCAAACUAAUGGCUGAGUGUCUUUUUUAGCAGCAUCAAGCAACUCCUUUACAAUACCACCCAAAGUAAUUUUCCUGAAGAAAUUCUCCUUGUAUCUAACUUCAUUCAGGUUCUUGGGGCUUGCCAAAUAGCCAGCAAUGUGACCUUAACUUGGUCAGUUGACAUCUCUGGUCUUAAGUUUCCUAAUCUGCAACAUUUGAAGGUUUAUUUUCUAAACGUUUUUACUUUAGUACUAAUUUCUGUGAGACAAUCAAGCUAUUCAAUGUUAGGUUGAGGUAUGUAAAUCAUUCCUGCCAGCCUUUGUACGAGGUGGUUCUGGUAUCACUGUGGCCCAGCAUGUGUCUGUCUAUCAGUGUUGGCAGAUAAAGAUGAACAAGAUGGAGGGGUGCAGGAUGCUUGGUGAAUACAGAACAUACCACCUGUGCUUUGGAACUGCCUUCCCCACUGUCAUGGCAUGCUAGAAGGGGAUGGAGACCUAGAAAUCGUUCAGACCCUCACUAGUUAAAGUGUGGUCCGUGCACCAGCGGCAUCAGCAUCACCUGGGAACUUGUCAGAAAUGCAGCAUCUCAGCCUCCACCCCAGACCUCCUGACCAGAAUCCGCAUUUUAACACAGUAUGCAGCCGCUGAGACAAGUGAUGUCACCUGCCAAUACUGUAGAUUGAAUAACCAGGGAAGGCUGAGGAAUGCAAGUGAAUGUAAAAACCACCUGGAGGGAAGCAUUGCAGCAAGAAAGGAACAGCAAGUGCAGAGGCCUGAGGCAGAACCAGCAGGGAAAAUGCUUUGAGGUUCCAUGAAAACCUGGAAGAAAUAUUCCUGAGGACCAUCCAACACCAUUUCCCUGAGAGACAAGCUGUAAGUGCUGUUCUAGUUACAGAUCCGAGUCCCUGGUACAUUGAUAUCAAGUAAGGGUGCAUGCAGCUCAGAAGGCAGUUUCCAUUACACUGGACAAGAGUGUGGCUGCCUGAGUCCUAGAACUGCAGUGGCUUCUGCUGACAAUGUGAGGAGUAGCUGCCCUGUCCAGAGUGUGGCCCCGCACGCUGCCCCCUCCCCUGGAGGGACUGAAGAGAACAGCUUGGAGCAUGCCCUUCCCUUUCCCUUAUCUCGCCCACUAUGCUAAUGCUGCUCAUCCCUCAAGAUCCGAGUUAUUCCUCCUCAAUUCAAUACACACCAAUCAACUGCCCUGUGCUUGGUCCUGUACUUUAUAUCCUUGAUAUGGUUUAAUUUUCAAAACAAAACACCUUGAGGUGGGUAUUAUCACUCCCAUUAACAAACAAGAAGG